rnacentral:rRNA from 1 species
AACGAACGCUGGCGGCGUGCCUAACACAUGCAAGUCGAGCGAGAAAGGGACUUCGGUCCUGAGUAAAGCGGCGCACGGGUGCGUAACACGUGGGUAAUCUUCCUCCGGGUUGGGAAUAACCCUUCGAAAGGAGGGCUAAUACCGAAUAAGCCCACGAUCUCCUUGGAGAUUGAGGGAAAAGGUGGCCUCUGCAUGCAAGCUAUCACCUGGAGAUGAGCCCGCGGCCCAUCAUGCUAGUUGGCGGGGUAACGGCCCACCAAGGCGACGACG